rnacentral:lncRNA from 1 species
UUUAACAUUAUAGCCUAUAGAUCUAUGGGGAUUGAGCCUAUAAUUAUAAUGUACUCAGUGAACAAGCAUUUAUUGAUAUCUUCUCUAGAAUUGUAUUAAAAUGGACAUUAAUAGAGAAGGCCUUAAUUUAAAAGGUCGUGGUUACAGAAGUCAAGCAUAAAUAUAACUCGGAGGAUGACGUUUAGGUAAUGCAAUUCUAGUGUCUCUUAUCUUUCAUGUAUUAAUCAAUUAUGAUGAUUGGGUAGGU